CUACGGGAGGCAGCAGUGGGGAAUAUUGGACAAUGGGGGAAACCCUGAUCCAGCAAUGCCGCGUGAGCGAAGAAGGCCUUCGGGUUGUAAAGCUCUUUUGUCAGGGAAGAAACGGUGUCAACUAAUAUUUGAUGCUAAUGACGGUACCUGAAGAAUAAGCACCGGCUAACUACGUGCCAGCAGCCGCGGUAAU
rnacentral:rRNA from 1 species